UCGCCUGUUUUUUCAAAAACAUCGCCUCUUGAUCUUGUAUAAGAGGUCCAGCCUGCCCAGUGACAAAGUUCAACGGCCGCGGUACCCUAACCGUGCGAAGGUAGCAUAAUCACUUGUUCUUUAAAUAGGGACUAGUAUCAACGGCAUCACGAGGGUUACACUGUCUCCUUUCUCCAAUCAGUGAAACUGAUCUCCCCGUGAAGAAGCGGGGAUAUAACUAUUAGACGAGAAGACCCCAUGGAGCUUUAAGCUCAACAACAAUUUUUAUGAAAAUAAUUCCUCAUAGUAUACAGACCCUGUUUGUUAGCUUUAGGUUGGGGUGACCGCGGAGUAUAAUUUAACCUCCACAACGAAAGGGCAUAAAACCCUUAUCCAAGAGCCACUGCUCUAAGAAUCACCAAAUUGACGUAUAAUGAUCCGAUUUUCGAUCAACGGACCAAGUUACCCUGGGGAUAACAGCGCAAUCCAUUUUUAGAGCCCCUAUCGACAAAUGGGUUUACGACCUCGAUGUUGGAUCAGGGUAUCCUAGUGGUGCAGCCGCUACUAAAGGUUCGUUUGUUCAACGAUUAAAACCCUAC
rnacentral:rRNA from 1 species